GAUGCAAACCUGCAAAACGGAC
rnacentral:miRNA from 1 species